AUUCCAGCUCCAAGAGCGUAUAUUAAAGUUGUUGCAGUUAAAAAGCUCGUAGUUGGAUUUCUGGUAUAAUGCGCCUGUCCCGGAAAUUUCUGUGUGACGGUGCGCGUUUGCCAUCCUUCUAGAAAACGUUUCUACCAUUUACUUGGCCGGACUCGCGAUCUAGAUCUUUUACUUUGAAAAAAUUAGAGUGUUUAAAGCAGGCAUAGCUUGAAUACAUUAGCAUGGAAUAAUAAUCUAGGACUUCGGUUCUAUUUUGUUGGUUUCUAGAAUUGAAGUAAUGAUUGAUAGGGAUAGUUGGGGGUGCUAGUAUUGGCCGGCCAGAGGUGAAAUUCUUGGAUUCGGUCAAGACUAACUUAUGCGAAAGCAUUCACCAAGGAUGUCUUCAUCA
rnacentral:rRNA from 1 species